GAACACCCCUGCCCUAGUAGGCUACAUGAAAAAUGUAAAUUCUUAAAUAAUAGUAGAGAAAAGUUGAGGAAUUCACAGUAGCAACAAAAGAUGUAAUCCCAUUACUAAUGUUACUGACAAUAUUUUUACUCAAACUACAUGUAAGAUACCUUUUAAAAUGUUAAUGCUACCACAAAUUGAAAGCACACAAAUUUAAAAACAUGACCCCAACAUAGUUAAAGAGUUAGCUAACACUAGCAUCACGAGCAUCACUGAAUGCAUUUGGAUCAUUUGUUUUCCAAGGCAAAAAGGGCAACCACACAGAUUACAAAACUGAUGUGUUUAAUAUUGUUAUUCAAAACAUACAAUAAGGUAAAGUCUUUAAGAGCUAAAAGCGAGCACACAGCCCUAACAUUAGCAGGAGUCACGAAGCUAUGCUAUCAAAACAACAGCAGACAGAAGGAACUGACCCCUGAGACAGACGGAGUAUUUCGGCUAAUCCUCAUUCACACUAGCCGAGGUUGCUGAAAUACUCCUCCCUGAAGUGCUUCACACAAACGAAGAGGACAUUCCCCACUGAUGUCGGCACAUUUCCAUGAAAAAUAAAAUUUAACCAGGCAUUCCGAAGAGGUUCUGAUCCCGGGGGAUGGUGUAAUGACUGGUGUGGGUUAAUACACCCGACAACAGAACAUUUCGACUUUUCCGCUUGCUGCUUCGGCAUCCUUCAACUCGAACUACAAGAAUACUGCGAGAAAAAAAAUGCCGGAUUCGCUGGAUUGGUUAGCAGGAAGUCCAUGACCAUCUUUAAAAGUUCCACAGAAAAUACUGUGACUUAAUAGAGAACGAAACGUAAUAGAAAAUGGAAAAAUAUUAAAAGGGCUCCAACAUAGUUAUCAUCCUUGUAGAGCUCUGAGAUCUGAAGAUCAAAUGCUUUUGGUUGUUCCUGGAACUGGACUUCUGACAAGGGGAGACAAAGCCUUUUCAGCUUCAGCUAAACUCUGGAACGUUCUCUUUCUUUCUGUGAAGUCUACCAGAACAAAUUAAUUUAAAUCUCUUUUAAAAACUCGUCUUUUAACGCUGGCUUUUAAUUUCAGAGAGCAUGACAAUGAGGCCAGUCCUUGCAAUGUUUUUUGCAUUUAAUUGUUUAUUUUAUUGUUGUUUUUGUGUAUGUGUUGUUAUUAUUACUGCUUUUAUUGUUAUGAUUUUGUCUCAUAUUUUUAUUCACCUGUUCAGCACUUCCAUUGCCUUGGUAUGUUAAUGUGCUUUUUAAAUAAAGUUUUGAUUUUUGA